rnacentral:lncRNA from 1 species
AUGCCCGCUUUUGACUUUUUGGAUAAGGUGGAGCAGUUUGUGAGGCGAGGAACGCAUCCUGUAGAUGCAUCAAAAAGCUCCAAGAAAGUUACCAGAGCUGCCAGCAAACUAUUUAUCUAUAAAGAUGGCAGUCUGUGGCGUUCUUACCGAGGCCGCCUCCUCCGCGUUGUCAGGAGCGACAAGGAGGUGAGGGAGAUCAUGGUCCGUUACCAUGACAACAACAACCACGCCGGCCGGGUCCGGGUAAUAAGGGAGAUAAUGUUGAUGUAUUACUGGGUUGGAGUGACGGAGGCGGUGAAGAACUGGAUCAAAGCGUGUGCGGUUUGUCAGCGACGAUGUCCCGCAGAGCCGCCUGAACCCCCCGUACACUUCUGCCUGGCCUACGGCUGCGAUGCCUCCAGCUACGUUCACCCUGAGCUCAGCUUCCACAGGUUUCCGAAGGAGGCAGAGCGUCGGCGAAGCUGGCUGGCGGUGGCUCAGAGGGACGAAGGCUCGCUGCGCACAAACUCCUGCCUCUGCUCCAGACACUUUGAGCCGGCCUGCUUCACGCUGAGCGAGGAGGGUCAGCUGACUCUAGCACCAGACGCCGUACCCACCAUCACCCCUGUGCAGGAGGACGAGGUGAACAGUUUGACAGUAUACAUCUGCACGAAUGGAUGUGUGGCUGUACAGCACGCUCUUAAUAAUCUUCUCUCCUCCUUUCUGUCUUGUGACGUU